rnacentral:rRNA from 1 species
GGGUUGUGAGGUUAAGCGACUAAGCGUACACGGUGGAUGCCCUGGCAGUCAGAGGCGAUGAAGGACGUGCUAAUCUGCGAUAAGCGUCGGUAAGGUGAUAUGAACCGUUAUAACCGGCGAUUUCCGAAUGGGGAAACCCAGUGUGAUUCGUCACACUAUCAUUAACUGAAUCCAUAGGUUAAUGAGGCGAACCGGGGGAACUGAAACAUCUAAGUACCCCGAGGAAAAGAAAUCAACCGAGAUUCCCCCAGUAGCGGCGAGCGGACGGGGAGCAGCCCAGAGCCUGAAUCAGUGUGUGUGUUAGUGGAAGCGUCUGGAAAGGCGUGCGAUACAGGGUGACAGCCCCGUACACAAAAAUGCACAUAUUGUGAGCUUGAUGAGUAGGGCGGGACACGUGGUAUCCUGUCUGAAUAUGGGGGGACCAUCCUCCAAGGCUAAAUACUCCUGACUGACCGAUAGUGAACCAGUACCGUGAGGGAAAGGCGAAAAGAACCCCGGCGAGGGGAGUGAAAAAGAACCUGAAACCGUGUACGUACAAGCAGUGGGAGCACGCUUAGGCGUGUGACUGCGUACCUUUUGUAUAAUGGGUCAGCGACUUAUAUUCUGUAGCAAGGUUAACCGAAUAGGGGAGCCGAAGGGAAACCGAGUCUUAACUGGGCGUUAAGUUGCAGGGUAUAGACCCGAAACCCGGUGAUCUAGCCAUGGGCAGGUUGAAGGUUGGGUAACACUAACUGGAGGACCGAACCGACUAAUGUUGAAAAAUUAGCGGAUGACUUGUGGCUGGGGGUGAAAGGCCAAUCAAACCGGGAGAUAGCUGGUUCUCCCCGAAAGCUAUUUAGGUAGCGCCUCGUGAAUUCAUCUCCGGGGGUAGAGCACUGUUUCGGCAAGGGGGUCAUCCCGACUUACCAACCCGAUGCAAACUGCGAAUACCGGAG